CUUGGAUCAGACCGUGGAAGCUGGAAUGGAGAGAGAUUUCGGAGGGGCAGCCAGACCUGGAGUGCCGCCAACCCGUUGCCCUUGAGAUGGAGACCACCUCUUUGGUAUUGCAAAGAAGGUCCUUCGUAAUCGUCUAUCCCUCAUCCUCACCCUUCUGCUCCAUUUGAAAGGCCCUCCAGAACAACAUGUCAUUCCUGGGAACCAUCUUUGGUAUUGCAAAGAAGGGUCUUCAUGAUCAUCGUCCCCCAUCCUCACCCUCCUGCUUCAUUUGAAAGGCCCUCCAGAACAAUGUGUCACUACCAGAAACCAUUUGCUAUCUCUGUUCCUUGUUUGUAUUUCUGCACUGGAAAUGGCCUUACAGCUCCACACUCAUCCUUCAGACAUGCAGCUCCUUGGUGACCCCAUCUGCUGGGUGCUGGCCUAUGUCACAUCCAGGUUGCUUUUUAUUCAUUGUCUCAUCUACCAGCCCAUGCCUCCCCAAGGGCAGGGCUGGUCCUGUUCACUAACCCAUCCCCAGCACCCAUUGGAAUGCUCUAGACUUCAGCCCAGUGAGUCACUAAGAAAGAACAGAUACCUUGGCAGAAGAGCUGAGGAAAGCCCAGGUCCCUGUCUUCAGGCCAAGGCUCUCUCCCAUUUGACCAACCCUGGCAUAUGUGUGUGUGUUGCAUUGAGGAAUUAUUUCAAGGUAUCUUUGAAUCCAUUCGGAUUCUUGGCCAGGUGCAGUGGCUCACACCCAUAAUCUCAGCACUUGGGGAAGCCAAGGUAGGCAGAUUGCUUGAGCACAGGAAUUCAAG
rnacentral:lncRNA from 1 species